rnacentral:rRNA from 1 species
UACGGAGGGGGCGAGCGUUAUUCGGAAUCAUUGGGCGUAAAGGGCGCGUAGGUGGCCCGGUCAGUUCGUGGUGAAAGCGCGGGGCUCAACCCUGCGUCGGCCAUGAAUACUGCCGCGGCUGGAGCACUGUAGAGGCAGGCGGAAUUCCGGGUGUAGCGGUGGAAUGCGUAGAGAUCCGGAAGAACACCGGUGGCGAAGGCGGCCUGCUGGGCAGUUGCUGACACUGAGGCGCGACAGCGUGGGGAGCAAACAGG